rnacentral:rRNA from 1 species
AGGGCAGCUAGCCAGUGAUGGCAUGCGAAUCUCGAAAGCCUAUCUCAGUUCGGAUUGGAGGCUGAAACCCGCCUCCAUGAAGUUGGAUUCGCUAGUAAUCGCGCAUCAGCCAUGGCGCGGUGAAUACGUUCCCGGGCCUUGUACACACCGCCCGUCAAGCCAUGGGAGCCGGGGGUGCCUGAAGUUCGUUACCGUAAGGAUCGACCUAGGGCAAAACUGGUGACUGGGGCUAAGUCGUAACAAGGUACC